UCUAACAGACAGAGCAGGUGCUGAGUGACUCGUCUGUUAACUUGACUGACCUCGAUACGUUGCUCUCGAAUAAUGAGAACCUGACGCACGAAGAACAGUGCUGUCCAACAUUCCCAGUUUUUGGUUGGCGACUUCACUGUCGGGACUCACACAAUCUCUGCCUAUAAGCAACAAAAACAGGUUUUCAGUAUACAGAUAUGCAACUGGAGUGAUGAUAUGCCCUGAAGAUAUUUAUACCCCUGUUAAUUGGGGUAUAAAGGAAUCCCCUUGGACGGACGUCUAUCUGUCUGUCUUUCCAUCUGUCUGUGGGCGUUCACUUAACAAUUCAACGUUCAGCUUUCAAACUUUCAGGACCCCAUACCAUCACAGUUUGGUACUCAGCAGAAUUACAGGCUCUCUGGUGAGCUGGAGCUGGACGCCCAAGGACAAUUCCCGAGUAUAGGUGUCGAGCUCCUGGGCCAGGAAUUCGGGGCAAAGCUCAACAAGUCCUACCCCCAGGGUACAGCCACUCUAACCUUGGGGCUCCACACUUUCCUGCUCAGGGGCAGAGAUUAUCUCAUCUACAAGCCUCAAUAUGAAUUGCAGCGGCAGUGGCAGAAGCAACACACUCACAAUUCAACAAUAAACAGUUCCAUUGACGAGUGCUUUUAAAUGUAUGAGACUUGAGAAUACACAUUAUCGAGACUCACCUGUGCUGAAUGUUUUCUUUAUUCUUUUACUGGGACAUCAUGUCAAUGAACAAGACACCCUUCCCUGAAAACCUCGCAGAUCUAAUGAACAGUGCAACUGCGCCAUAUGUGACCCUUUAGAGAAUGGAAUUACUGGCCAAAUAUCUAAUCGGUGCCAAUCUGGGCUCCAGAAGCAGCCUCAGCCAUGGGGGACAGGUUUAUGAAGCACCCUGAACUUCUCAAUCUCACAGCAACAGUAGAUCAACAUGACCUCUAGCAGCAGCCUCAGCCGUGGGGGACAGGUUUAUGAAGCAAUCUGGGCUCUAGCAGCAGCCUCAGCCAUGGGGGACAGGUUUAUGAAGCACCCUGAACUCACAGCAACAGUAGAUCAACAUGACCUCUAGCAGCAGCCUCAGCCGUGGGGGACAGGUUUAUGAAGCACCCUGACCUUCUCAAUCUCACAGCAACAGUAGAUCAACAUGACCUCCAGCAGCAGCCUCAGCCAUGGGGGACAGGUUUAUGAAGCAAUCUGGGCUCUAGCAGCAGCCUCAGCCGUGGGGGACAGGUUUAUGAAGCACCCUGACCUUCUCAAUCUCACAUCAACAGUAGAUCAACAUGACCUCUAGCAGCAGCCUCAGCCGUGGGGGACAGGUUUAUGAAGCACCCUGAACUCACAGCAACAGUAGAUCAACAUGACCUCUAGCAGCAGCCUCAGCCGUGGGGGACAGGUUUAUGAAGCAUCCUGAUCUUCUCAAUCUCACAGCAACAGUAGAUCAACAUGACCUGAAAGCGGUUCGUGUUCAGUGUCUAACAGUAUUCUAAUGACCAAGCCACGCCAGCAAAGCAGUAAUAAUAGCAGUCAAGUAAGUUGUCUUCAACAUUUAAGAGUACCAAGGGUCGCAGUCUUUUGCUCAAUACGGAUUGUUUUAAAUAAAACCUAAUGUAGUUAUUGAAAAUAUUUGUUGAUUUCCGUGUCAGAUUGAAAUGUUUUAUAGCACAAUACAUCAACACCACAAAUGCAUAUGAAUGAUUAACAAUAGAAUUAUUAAUGCCAAAAAUCAAAACAUAAAUUUCUUUAUAUUUUUCUUAAAAAAAUGUAUGAAGAACUUAUUAAGUUUGUUUCAAAAUAUAUCUGAACAAUAUGUGUUUCAAAAUAUAUAUCUAAACAUAUUGAUGUUUUAGACUUCCCUUUGAUUUAUUUUCCCUAUGAUUUCUCUUCUCCUAAACAGGUCGAGGAUCACCCAUAACUACUUGGUGCCUAGCAAUGAUUUUUCUGCUACCAACUUGACCUGAUUAUUGUACUCACGUGGGAGUCAGGUUUAAGGUCACAUAAGUUAACAACAUGACUGCACAAUAUGGCAUCAAUGGCAAAGAAGAAGUGAUCAGAGGGGGUUAUAACGUGCAAGUCAAGAAGGCGACGUCCAUGACGAGUCUGAAAACCCUGAUUGCAAAAUGCAGAGUCUGCUCCGGAAGCAUUUGCAGACACAGAACAUGAACGGCUGCAGUCAUUGUCUUCAUAUUAUAUCAUCUCUAUGGUGCAGGACCCUCAGUCUGUGUACACAGGGAACCUUCGACGCCAAUGACGAAAUCAAACCAUCCAAUCAGAAACACAUCCUGUUGCAGCAGUUAUUACCAUAUUGACCCCAGUCAAAAAAAGAAGCUCAGAGAUAAAUACUGUUUAUGGUGUUCUAGUCUUUACAUACCUUGUGGUAUGUUGAGCACGUACUCUGACAGGUUUCAUCUUAUAAUUGUUUGACUGGUGGAAAAUAAAUGACCUUGUUCAAGUCGAAAUAUCAGAAUAACAAUUCAUAAUUCAAAUGCCAAAAAGUCAUAUCAACAGCCACAUUUGUUAUGUGACCAGCAAAGUUGAAUUCAAAGUGACACAAUAGUUUUCUUUAUAUUUUGUUGUGACCAACCAAGUUGUAUUUAAUGAAAAACAAUAGUUUAUGUUUUAUGGGAAUUAUGAUGCUGUCAGUCAUGUUAUGUUGGACGUUUUAGUUAAAUAUAGUAUGUUACAAAAUGUAUUAUUUGAAGCACACAUAUUGCAGGUAUAUCAAAUGUCUGUGUUUGUAUUAUGAACCUUUCACUUCAGAUUUUGAUCCGGAUAUGGUAAAUUUAAGGGAAAUACACUUAAACACCGUUAUUUCGAACACCGAUAAUCCAAAGUCACAGUUAUUUCAAGGUAUUGUUCGGGUCCUGA